GACGAACCGUGCGAACGUUAUUCGGAAUCACUGGGCUUAAAGCGCGUGUAGGCGGGACGGUGCGUCGGCCGCUGAAAUCCCCCGGCUCAACCGGGGAAGGGGCGCCGAUACGACCGCCCUGGAGCGACGUAGGGGGAACUGGAAUUCUUGGUGUAGCGGUGAAAUGCGUAGAUAUCAAGAGGGACACCUGCGGCGAAGGCGGGUUGCUGGGCCGACACUGACGCUGAGGCGCGAAAGCCAGGGGAGCGAACGGG
rnacentral:rRNA from 1 species